rnacentral:rRNA from 1 species
UGGGGAAUAUUGGACAAUGGGGGCAACCCUGAUCCAGCAAUGCCGCGUGUGUGAAGAAGGCCUGAGGGUUGUAAAGCACUUUAGUUAGGGAGGAAGUUGGUUGUGUUAAUAGCAUGAUUGACUGACGUUACCUGAGGAAUAAGCACCGGCUAACUCUGUGCCAGCAGCCGCGGUAAUACAGAGGGUGCGAGCGUUAAUCGGAAUGACUGGGCGUAAAGGGCGCGUAGGCGGUUUGGUAAGUCAGAUGUGAAAGCCCUGGGCUUAACCUAGGAAUGGCAUCUGGUACUGCUGAGCUGGAGUAUAGGAGAGGGCAGUGGAAUUUCCGGUGUAGCGGUGAAAUGCGUAGAUAUCGGAAGGAACACCAGUGGCGAAGGCGGCUGUCUGGCCUGAUACUGACGCU